ensembl:lncRNA
GCGCAGUCAGAAGCCCGGCGCGUCACUGAGGGCGAGCUCCCAGACCGUCUUUUUUGGACAAAAUGAGGACAUGCUCGCAAAGAAACUACCAACUUGUGAAAUCCCUCAGGAGAUACCAUGUCACCAACCCAAGCCCGCAGAAAAGCAGCUGCGGUGGGCGUUGAAGAACCUGUGCUCCUUCAGAUGAAAUGAUAGAGACACCAGAACUAAAAAUGUGAAAUCUGCUUUAAGACAAAAGACUUCUUCAGGCAAAGAACUGCAUUACAAAGUUUCUAACACUCUUCAAGUGAAUGCUCCCCAGAAUUUCACGUUUAGAAGAACAUGUGAACAAGACAGAAAGUUUGAAAGAAGACAGGGAAACUGUCCUUGAAAAAAACAACACAAGUGUGAGGAAUGUGGCAAAGUCUUCAGUCAGAGCUCAGCCCUUAAUCUACAUCAGAGAAUCUACAGUGGAGAGAAACCUUAUACAUGUGAAGUGUGUGCAACGUCUUUCAGCUUAAGUACAGUCCUGAUUCAGCAUCGAAGAAUCCAUACUGGGGAAAAACCCUUCAAAUGUCAUGAAUGUGGGAAAGCCUUUAGUCAGAGCUCAGUCCUUAACAUUAUACAUGUGACAUGUGUGCAGAGUCUUUCAGCCAAAGUACAGUCCUAAUUCAGCAUCGAAGAAUCCAU